GCAGACACACUCUGUUCCCUGCUGCUCACUUCAGGGUGGAACUUUUUCUGUCUGCUACAUAAACAUGCAGAACAUGUCUCCUAACUGGCUUUCUGAUAGGCUGGUGUCUGUAUGCUCUGCUACAUGACA